UGACAACCUGGUUGAUCCUGCCAGUAGUCAUAUGCUUGUCUCAAAGAUUAAGCCAUGCAUGUCUCAGUACAAGCCAAAUUAAGGUGAAACCGCGAAAGGCUCAUUAAAUCAGUUAUGGUUCCUUAGAUCGUACCCACAUUUACUUGGAUAACUGUGGUAAUUCUAGAGCUAAUACAUGCAAACAGAGCUCCAACCGGAGACGGAAGGAGUGCUUUUAUUAGAACAAAACCAAUCGGCGGCGUGUUCGCUUGCGUUCACGUUCGCCGCCCAACUUGGUGACUCUGAAUAACUUUACGCUGAUCGCACGGUCUUGCACCGGCGACGCAUCUUUCAAAUGUCUGCCUUAUCAACUGUCGAUGGUAGGUUCUGCGCCUACCAUGGUUGUAACGGGUAACGGGGAAUCAGGGUUCGAUUCCGGAGAGGGAGCCUGAGAAACGGCUACCACAUCCAAGGAAGGCAGCAGGCGCGCAAAUUACCCACUCCCGGCACGGGGAGGUAGUGACGAAAAAUAACGAUACGGGACUCAUCCGAGGCCCCGUAAUCGGAAUGAGUACACUUUAAAUCCUUUAACGAGGAUCAAUUGGAGGGCAAGUCUGGUGCCAGCAGCCGCGGUAAUUCCAGCUCCAAUAGCGUAUAUUAAAGUUGUUGCGGUUAAAAAGCUCGUAGUUGAAUCUGUGUCCCGCGCUGUCGGUUCACCGCCCGCGGUGUUUAACUGGCACGAUCGCGGGACGUCCUGCCGGUGGAUGUGUGUGUCAGUGCAUUUCGGUGUAUCUGCUCCGCAUCCGACUCAACAAAUCCUGUCGCGGUGCUCUUAAUUGAGUGUCGAGGCGGGCCGGCACGUUUACUUUGAACAAAUUAGAGUGCUCAAAGCAGGCUAAAAUUACGCCUGAAUACUGUGUGCAUGGAAUAAUGGAACAGGACCUCGGUUCUAUUUUGUUGGUUUUCGGAACCCCGAGGUAAUGAUUAAUAGGGACAGAUGGGGGCAUUCGUAUUGCGACGUUAGAGGUGAAAUUCUUGGAUCGUCGCAAGACGGACAGAAGCGAAAGCAUUUGCCAAAAAUGUUUUCAUUAAUCAAGAACGAAAGUCAGAGGUUCGAAGGCGAUCAGAUACCGCCCUAGUUCUGACCAUAAACGAUGCCAGCUAGCGAUCCGCCGACGUUCCUCCGAUGACUCGGCGGGCAGCUUCCGGGAAACCAAAGCUUUUGGGUUCCGGGGGAAGUAUGGUUGCAAAGCUGAAACUUAAAGGAAUUGACGGAAGGGCACCACCAGGAGUGGAGCCUGCGGCUUAAUUUGACUCAACACGGGAAACCUCACCAGGCCCGGACACCGGAAGGAUUGACAGAUUGAGAGCUCUUUCUUGAUUCGGUGGGUGGUGGUGCAUGGCCGUUCUUAGUUGGUGGAGCGAUUUGUCUGGUUAAUUCCGAUAACGAACGAGACUCUAGCCUGCUAACUAGGCGUA
rnacentral:rRNA from 1 species